UACGAAGGAUUCGAGCGUUAUCCGGAUUUAUUGGGUUUAAAGGGUGCGUAGGUGGAUUAAUAAGUCAGUGGUGAAAGCCCAGAGCUCAACUCUGGAACUGCCAUUGAUACUGUUGAUCUUGAGUACAGUUGAGGUGGGCGGAAUGUGUCAUGUAGCGGUGAAAUGCUUAGAUAUGACACAGAACACCGAUUGCGAAGGCAGCUCACUAAGCUGUAACUGACACUGAUGCACGAAAGCGUGGGGAGCAAACAGG
rnacentral:rRNA from 1 species